rnacentral:rRNA from 1 species
UCGGUUGAUCCUGCCGGACCCGACUGCUAUUUGGGUGAGAAUAAGCCAUGCGAGUUGAAUGGGAUACCUAAGUUUCCCAUGGCAGACUGCUCAGUAACACAUGAUCAACUUACCCUAUGGAGAAAAAUAAUCUCGGGAAACUGAGGAUAAUUUUUCAUAGUUGAAUAGGCUUGGAAAAGUUUUUCAAUCAAAGGAGUAAGGAAAAUGGUUCUUACUUGCCAUAGGAUGGGAUCGUGCUCGAUUAUGGUAGUUGGUGAGGUAAUGGCUCACCAAGCCGAUAAUCGAUAGGGGCCGUGAGAGCGGUUGCCCCGAGAUGGGUACUGAGACAACGACCCAGGCCUUACGAGGCGCAGCAGGCGCGAAACCUCCGCAAUACACGAAAGUGUGACGGGGUUACCCAAAGUGUUCUUUGAACUGUGGUAGGUGAGUAAUGUCCCCUACUAGAAAGGAGAGGGCAAGGCUGGUGCCAGCCGCCGCGGUAAAACCAGCUCUUCAAGUGGUCGGGAUAAUUAUUGGGCUUAAAGUGUCCGUAGCCGGUACAGUAAGUUCCUGGUAAAAUCAGGUAGCUUAACUAUCUGUAUGCUAGGAAUACUGUUGUACUAGAGGGCGGGAAAAGUCUGAGGUACUACAGGGGUAGGGGUGAAAUCUUAUAAUCCUUGUAGGACCACCAGUGGCNNANNCGUCANACUGGAACGCGCCUGACGGUGAGGGACGAAAGCCAGGGUAGCGAACCGGANUANAUACCCGGGUAGUCCUGGCCGUAAACGAUGCACACUAGGUGANGNUACGGUCAUGAGCCGUAUC